GCCAUAUCACAUUGAAACACCAGUUUUUGUAUGAUCACCAAAGUUAAGCACUGUCAAGCCUGGUUAGUACCUAGAUGGGUGACCCAUUGGGAAUACCAGGUGCGGUAAG